AAAGCUCCGGCGGUGCAGGAUGAGCCCGCGGCCUAUCAGCUAGUUGGUGAGGUAACGGCUCACCAAGGCGACGACGGGUAGCCGGCCUGAGAGGGCGACCGGCCACACUGGGACUGAGACACGGCCCAGACUCCUACGGGAGGCAGCAGUGGGGAAUAUUGCACAAUGGGCGAAAGCCUGAUGCAGCGACGCCGCGUGAGGGAUGACGGCCUUCGGGUUGUAAACCUCUUUCAGCAGGGAAGAAGCGAAAGUGACGGUACCUGCAGAAGAAGCGCCGGCUAACUACGUGCCAGCAGCCGCGGUAAUACGUAGGGCGCAAGCGUUGUCCGGAAUUAUUGGGCGUAAAGAGCUCGUAGGCGGCUUGUCACGUCGGUUGUGAAAGCCCGGGGCUUAACCCCGGGUCUGCAGUCGAUACGGGCAGGCUAGAGUUCGGUAGGGGAGAUCGGAAUUCCUGGUGUAGCGGUGAAAUGCGCAGAUAUCAGGAGGAACACCGGUGGCGAAGGCGGAUCUCUGGG
rnacentral:rRNA from 2 species